GACGAACGCUGGCGGCGUGCCUAAUACAUGCAAGUCGAACGCAGUUGCGAACGGGUGAGUAACGCGUAGGUAACUGCCUCAUAGCGGGGGAUAACUAUGGGAAACGAUUGCUAAUACCGCCUACUUUGAGAGGGCCCUGCGUUGUAUUAGCUAGUUGGUGAGGUAAAGGGUCAGCAAGGCGACGAUACAUACCCGACCUGAGAGGGUGGACCGGCACACUGGGACUGGGAACCGGGCCAGACCCCCUCCGGAGGGAGCAGUAGGGGAAUUUCGGGAAUGGGCGGAAGUCCGGACGGACAAAGCCGCGUGAAGUGAGGAAGGUUUCGGAUCGGAAAGCUCUGUUGUUAGGGAAGCGGUAACUAACCAGAAAGCGACGGCUAACUACGUGCCAGCAGCCGCGGUAAUUC
rnacentral:rRNA from 1 species